UCCGGUUGAUCCUGCCGGACCCGACCGCUAUCGGGGUGGGGCUAAGCCAUGCGAGUCGUACGCCCGGGGUCCGCCGGGCGUGGCGCACGGCUCAGUAACACGUGCCUAACCUACCCUCGGGAGGGGGACAACCCCGGGAAACUGGGGCUAAUCCCCCAUAGGGGAAGGGUGCUGGAAGGCCCCUUCCCCGAAAAGGACUGCGGUUGAUCUACCGCAAUCCGCCCGAGGAUGGGGGCACGGCCCAUCAUGGUAGUUGGCGGGGUAACGGCCCGCCAAGCCGAAGACGGGUGGGGGCCGUGAGAGCGGGAGCCCCGAGAUGGGCACUGAGACAAGGGCCCAGGCCCUACGGGGUGCAGCAGGCGCGAAAACUCCGCAAUGCGGGAAACCGUGACGGGGCCACCCCGAGUGUCGCCCGAAGAGGGCGACUUUUGCCCGGUGCAAAAAGCCGGGCGAAUAAGCGGGGGGCAAGUCUGGUGUCAGCCGCCGCGGUAAUACCAGCCCCGCGAGUGGUCGGGGUGCUUACUGGGCCUAAAGCGCCCGUAGCCGGCCCGGUAAGUCGCCCCUGAAAUCCACGGGCUCAACCCGUGGGCCGGGGGCGAAACUGCCGGGCUUGGGGGCGGGAGAGGCCGAGGGUACUCCCGGGGUAGGGGCGAAAUCCGAUAAUCCCGGGAGGACCACCAGUGGCGAAGGCGCUCGGCUGGAACGCGCCCGACGGUGAGGGGCGAAAGCUGGGGGAGCAAAGGGGAUUAGAUACCCCUGUAGUCCCAGCUGUAAACUAUGCGGGCUAGCUGUUGGGCGGGCUUAGGGCCCGCCCAGUGGCGGAGGGAAGCCGUUAAGCCCGCCGCCUGGGGAGUACGGCCGCAAGGCUGAAACUUAAAGGAAUUGGCGGGGGGGCACCACAAGGGGUGAAGCUUGCGGCUUAAUUGGAGUCAACGCCGGG
rnacentral:rRNA from 1 species